GUGAAAGGCCAAUCAAACCGGGAGAUAGCUGGUUCUCCCCGAAAGCUAUUUAGGUAGCGCCUCGUGAACUCAUCUUCGGGGGUAGAGCACUGUUUCGGCUAGGGGGCCAUCCCGGCUUACCAACCCGAUGCAAACUACGAAUACCGAAGAAUGUUAUCACGGGAGACACACGGCGGGUGCUAACGUCCGUCGUGAAGAGGGAAACAACCCAGACCGCCAGCUAAGGUCCCAAAGUCA
rnacentral:rRNA from 1 species